CUGGGCUUGACAUCCCCACGGAGAGGGGGUAAUGCCCCUGGCCCUUCGGGGCGUGGGAGACAGGUGGUGCAUGGUUGUCGUCAGCUCGUGUCGUGAGAUGUUGGGUUAAGUCCCGCAACGAGCGCAACCCUUACCCUUAGUAGCCAGCGGAAGAGCCGGGCACUCUAGGGGGACAGCCUGGGAUAACCAGGAGGAAGGCGGGGAUGACGUCAAAUCAUCAUGCCCCUUAUGUUCAGGGCUACACACGUGCUACAAUGGCGGCGACAGAGGGAAGCGAGACAGUGAUGUUGAGCGAAGCCCAAAAAGCCGUCCCAGUUCGGAUUGCAGCCUGCAACUCGGCUGCAUGAAGCCGGAAUCGCUAGUAAUCGCGGAUCAGAAUGCCGCGGUGAAUACGUUNCCC
rnacentral:rRNA from 1 species